rnacentral:rRNA from 1 species
AGCAGCCGCGGUAAUUCCAGCUCCAAUAGCGUAUAUUAAAGUUGUUGCAGUUAAAAAGCUCGUAGUUGAAUUUCGGGGUCAGCAGGUUGGUCGUGCCAAUGGUAUGCACUGGCCUUGCUGAUUCCUCCCUCUUGAUGAGCCGUAAUGCCAUUAAUUUGGUGUUGCGGGGAAUCAGGACUGUUACUUUGAAAAAAUUAGAGUGUUUAAAGCAGGCAAGCGCUUGAAUACAUUAGCAUGGAAUAAUGAAAUAGGACGUUUGAUCCUAUUUUGUUGGUUUCUAGGAUUGACGUAAUGAUUAAUAGGGAUAGUUGGGGGCAUUAGUAUUCAAUUGUCAGAGGUGAAAUUCUUGGAUUUAUUGAAGACUAACUACUGCGAAAGCAUUUGCCAAGGAUGUUUUCAUUAAUCAAGAACGAAAGUUAGGGGAUCGAAGACGAUCAGAUACCGUCGUAGUCUUAACCAUAAACUAUGCCGACUAGGGAUCGGAUGAUGUUAAUUUUUUAAUGACUCU